rnacentral:rRNA from 1 species
GACGGAAGGUGCAAGCGUUGCUCGGAAUACUGGGCGUAAAGCGCGUGUAGGCGGUUGCCCAAGUCGGGUGUGAAAGCCUUGAGCUCAACUCAAGAAAUGCACUCGGUACUGGGUGACUAGAGGACCGGAGAGGAUAGUGGAAUUCCCAGUGUAGUGGUGAAAUACGUAGAGAUUGGGAAGAACACCAGUGGCGAAGGCGGCUAUCUGGACGGUUUCUGACGCUAAGACGCGAAAGCGUGGGAGCAACAG